AUGGAGACACCAAAGGUUGGCCACUCGUCUUCUCGCCUGCAACACCGCCACACCCGAAGUGUUGCAAGCACACAUGGAAAUCUAUCGGACAUAACACCGCGAUUCUCGUAUAACAAACCUACAACCAAUCAGGAUAAUAUUCCCCAUAGGAGAUACUCACUUAACCUAGCAGAGCAGUUUCAAGACCACCCCAUGAUUACUACAGCAGAACCAAAUGAAAAGGCUAUGUCGAAGCCCGUUGCAGAAUUGGUUUGGGAGAUAGCAGCCCUUGAGGAGGAAGUCGUACGGAGGGAACUGCAUUUGCUUUCGCUCUACAGGGCGACAUUUGAUCAAUACCUGGGCAUCUCCCCUCGUGUUUCUGGUCAGAUGGGUCAAGAAACGCACCGUCAAGGCAGCAGAAAGAAAGUUGAUGAAGGUGCUCUCCGGUUGAGAGAUAUCAAGGAGUCAGCAUCCUACAACUUGCCAACAGUUUCAGAUCGUAGACAUUAUUCACAGGGACUGCCAAGAUCAACUUCAGGGCAUUCUUGUCUUGCAAAUUUCUUGAGUGCUUCUAUUGCUGAAUAUGUGCCCAGGAUUGCAUGCAAGCUUUCGGAGGACAUUCUAAGAUGCAUUUCCGCGGUGUACUGCAAACUCGCGAGCAGCCCAUCACAGGAUGUUGAUUCCGAGACUUUGUCAACUCCUUCCUUCUCUUCUGCAUCGAGUACCUUUUCCCUAAAGCACCGUGUCGAUAGUUGGAGCCCCCGACUCAGCUGCAAUGUUGACGCAAGCUCUGAAAAAUAUGGUACAUUGAAUGAGAAUAAUGACCAGUACAGUGGCAUGAUAAUUUUUCCAAGGAUAAAUAUUGAUGCAGACAAGUUCGAUUAUGCCUCUAAAAUGCUUGAAACAAUCAGAGCAUUGAUAAAGCGGCUUGAGAAAAUCGACCCUACAAAGAUGGCACAUGAGGAGCAGCUCUGUUUUUGGAUCAACAUCCACAACGCUUUAGUGAUGCAUGCUUUUAUGGCUUAUGGACUUCAGGACAAACGCAUGAAAAGCUCAGACAUGAUUCUGAAGGCUGCAUAUGACGUGGGCGGGCAUUCAGUAAACUCCCAAAUUAUUCAGAACUCAAUUCUUGGAUGUCAAUCCCAUCGUCCUUCCCUGUGGGUUCGCACGCUAUUUACUCCCACGAAGAAAUCAGCAUCAGGAAGCUCCACUCAUCCAUAUGCUCUUCGUCAGCCAGAGCCGCUUGCUCACUUUAGUCUUUCCACUGGAGCAUUUUCAGAUCCACCUGUAAGGUUGUACACAGCCAAGAAACUGGAUCAUCAACUGGAUCAAGCCAAGACUGAGUUUAUUAGAGCUAAUGUCAUGGUCAGGAAGCAGAUCAUUUUUCUUCCCAAAAUUCUCCACUACUAUGCAAAGGAUGCUACACUGGAGUUGCCUGGUCUGAUUGAGAUGGUAUGCAAGAGUAUGCCUGAAGCCCAGCAAAAAGAAAUAAAUAAAUGUCUUAGGAGGAGGAUAGAUAAGUGUGUUGAAUGGUUGCCCUAUAAGUCUUCUUUCAGAUACACUGUACACAGGAAUUUGGCUGAGUAG
rnacentral:rRNA from 1 species